GACGAACGCUGGCGGCGUGCCUAAUACAUGCAAGUCGAACGAGAGCGACCGGUGCUUGCACUGGUCAAUCUAGUGGCGAACGGGUGAGUAACACGUGGGUAACCUGCCCAUCAGAGGGGGAUAACAUCCGGAAACGGAUGCUAAAACCGCAUAGGUCUUCGAACCGCAUGGUUUGAAGAGGAAAAGAGGCGCAAGCUUCUGCUGAUGGAUGGACCCGCGGUGCAUUAGCUAGUUGGUGAGGUAACGGCUCACCAAGGCCGUGAUGCAUAGCCGACCUGAGAGGGUGAUCGAGCACAUUGGGACUGAGACACGGCCCAAACUCCUACGGGAGGCAGCAGUAGGGAAUCUUCCGCAAUGGACGCAAGUCUGACGGAGCAACGCCGCGUGAGUGAAGAAGGUUUUCGGAUCGUAAAACUCUGUUGUUAGAGAAGAACAAGUGCUAGAGUAACUGUUAGCGCCUUGACGGUAUCUAACCAGAAAGCCACGGCUAACUACGUG
rnacentral:rRNA from 1 species